rnacentral:rRNA from 2 species
UCGAACGAUGAUGCCCAGCUGCUGGGUGGAUUAGUGGCGAACGGUGAGUAACACGUGAGUAACCUGCCCCUGACUCUGGGAUAAGCGUUGGAAACGACGUCUAAUACUGGAUAUGACUGCUGGCCGCAUGGUCUGGUGGUGGAAAGAUUUUUUGGUUGGGGAUGGACUCGCGGCCUAUCAGCUUGUUGGUGAGGUAAUGGCUCACCAAGGCGACGACGGGUAGCCGGCCUGAGAGGGUGACCGGCCACACUGGGACUGAGACACGGCCCAGACUCCUACGGGAGGCAGCAGUGGGGAAUAUUGCACAAUGGGCGAAAGCCUGAUGCAGCAACGCCGCGUGAGGGAUGACGGCCUUCGGGUUGUAAACCUCUUUUAGUAGGGAAGAAGCGUAAGUGACGGUACCUGCAGAAAAAGCACCGGCUAACUACGUGCCAGCAGCCGCGGUAAUACGUAGGGUGCAAGCGUUGUCCGGAAUUAUUGGGCGUAAAGAGCUCGUAGGCGGUUUGUCGCGUCUGCUGUGAAAUCCCGAGGCUCAACCUCGGGCUUGCAGUGGGUACGGGCAGACUAGAGUGCGGUAGGGGAGAUUGGAAUUCCUGGUGUAGCGGUGGAAUGCGCAGAUAUCAGGAGGAACACCGAUGGCGAAGGCAGAUCUCUGGGCCGUAACUGACGCUGAGGAGCGAAAGCGUGGGGAGCGAACAGGAUUAGAUACCCUGGUAGUCCACGCCGUAAACGUUGGGCGCUAGAUGUAGGGACCG